GGGCCGGUGGAUCAGCCUGGAAUGAUCGUCCGCUUGGCAAAUUGUAGAAUCCAUCCAAAUUGCGGGAGGUCGCGGGUUCAAAUCCCGCCCGGUCCACCA
rnacentral:tRNA from 1 species